GACGCUGGCGGCGUGCUUAACACAUGCAAGUCGAACGGUAAGGCCCUUCGGGGUACACGAGUGGCGAACGGGUGAGUAACACGUGGGUGGUCUGCCCUGCACUUCGGGAUAAGCCUGGGAAACUGGGUCUAAUACCGGAUAGGACCAUGGACUUCACGGUUUGUGGUGGAAAGCUUUUGCGGUGUGGGAUGGGCCCGCGGCCUAUCAACUUGUUGGUGGGGUAAUGGCCUACCAAGGCGACGACGGGUAGCCGGCCUGAGAGGGUGUCCGGCCACACUGGGACUGAGAUACGGCCCAGACUCCUACGGGAGGCAGCAGUGGGGAAUAUUGCACAAUGGGCGCAAGCCUGAUGCAGCGACGCCGCGUGAGGGAUGACGGCCUUCGGGUUGUAAACCUCUUUCAAUAGGGACGAAGCGCAAGUGACGGUACCUAUAGAAGAAGCACCGGCCAACUACGUG
rnacentral:rRNA from 1 species